ACUCUGCGGGCUCCGACCCGAGCCUUAGAAACCGGCCUCGAAUCGGGACUGGGACCCGGGCCUGCCGGGCAGCUGAGGCCGGAGCGGCGGGAGCGCGUGGCGCAGCCUCGAGCCCUGAGCCCCGUCCUGCAGCCCCGAGAGAUCGAUGGAGCGCGGGCGUCGUCGCUGUGGGCGCGGGCAGCCCUGGGGGGCAGCCGCUUAGGCGCCGCUCUCUUGUCCCCAACAGGUCGCAGCCCGGGUGGCCGGGCGCUCCCAGCUCCGGCUCCUGGAGCGCCCUUUGCGGUCCCCACCUCCAUGGACGCCUUCAAGGGAGGCAUGAGCCUGGAGAGGCUACCGGAGGGGCUGCGGCCACCGCCACCGCCGCCACACGACAUGGGGCCCAGCUUCCACCUGGCCCGCACCGCCGACCCCCGGGAGCCGCUGGAGAACUCAGCCAGCGAGUCAUCCGACGCCGAUCUGCCAGCCCCUUCCUCCCCACCCUGCCUCCAGGUUGGUUUUGUGUUUGCUUUUCCGGACCCCGCUCUGCCCCCAAUGAAUAAAAAAGGGAAAAAAAUCAAGCCAAGGGAGGGGGUGGGGGAGAGAAAGCAAAAAAAAUAAAAAAAUUUU
rnacentral:lncRNA from 1 species